CUCCAUUGCCUGCAUAUCCCUAGAAUUCCAAAAGGAACAAUGUUUCGCCAUCUUCCUCGACUCUCAGCAAAUUGAGCUUAAAAGUUGAUACCACUGCUUGAAAUUCAAUAAGAUAGGUACUUUAUUAUUCUCUAAAUGUUCUUCUUUUUUGUCACUGAUGCAUCUGUUUGUAAGUUCCAAUGUCUGCUAUGUGAAUUCACUAUUAUAAUAUUAUUUUCUUGUUA